UUACAGGAAGGUAAGGUCUUCAUUGAAGAAGUGAUCAAACCUGGGUGCUUCCUGACUCUGACAUUUGUGCAGUCCUCUGAUCGUCAAAGCAGAACUUUGGGACCGAUUCCUUCCCCUUGAACUUCAUGGAUUUGGGCAAUGCCACCAGAUCUCUUGAGUCUUGCUGCUCCCAGACUUCUGGACAACCUCACCACAGGAUUUGGGAGGAAUCGGGAGCUUUUCAGAUGGUGCUUCAUCUCUCAGUGUGCUUGCUGCUAUGGAGCCCCCCACUACUGCUGUGGAAAUGCCAAACUCGGGUGGGCUGCUGCCCGAACAAGGACAUUGGACCAAAUGCCUCUCCAGACCAAAUCAUGUUUUUGCAUCCUUAUUUCCAUGUGAAUAUGAAGUACAGGCUGAUUUGCCAGACCACUGGAGUGUGCGAAGGAUGCUGAAGUUGCCAGUCCUCAGAAAUAACCUGGUCUUUGUGAUGAGUUUAUAUCAAGCCUUUGACCUUAGCCAAAUUCAGUGCAUUUCUCAGACAAAUCUCAUGACCUGCCCGGACUGCACAUGAGUGUUUUAUAUCUCUGGAAAUCUCCCAAGUCAGUCCUCUUAAGUGCACAUCAAAUGCCACGGAAGGAAAAUCAGGACUGCCAAGGGCUGAGUGCUCUAGGUCUGA